rnacentral:tRNA from 1 species
GGAGGGAUGGCCGAGUCCGGUUGAUGGCGCUAGUCUUGAAAACUAGUAUACCCUAACGGGUAUCGGGGGUUCGAAUCCCUCUCCCUCCG